rnacentral:rRNA from 1 species
GUUUGAUCCUGGCUCAGGACGAACGCUGGCGGCGUGCCUAAUACAUGCAAGUCGAACGCUUUUUCUUUCACCGGAGCUUGCUCCACCGAAAGAAAAGGAGUGGCGAACGGGUGAGUAACACGUGGGUAACCUGCCCAUCAGAAGGGGAUAACACUUGGAAACAGGUGCUAAUACCGUAUAACAAUCGAAACCGCAUGGUUUCGGUUUGAAAGGCGCUUUUGCGUCACUGAUGGAUGGACCCGCGGUGCAUUAGCUAGUUGGUGAGGUAACGGCUCACCAAGGCAACGAUGCAUAGCCGACCUGAGAGGGUGAUCGGCCACAUUGGGACUGAGACACGGCCCAAACUCCUACGGGAGGCAGCAGUAGGGAAUCUUCGGCAAUGGACGCAAGUCUGACCGAGCAACGCCGCGUGAGUGAAGAAGGUUUUCGGAUCGUAAAACUCUGUUGUUAGAGAAGAACAAGGAUGAGAGUAGAAUGUUCAUCCCUUGACGGUAUCUAACCAGAAAGCCACGGCUAACUACGUGCCAGCAGCCGCGGUAAUACGUAGGUGGCAAGCGUUGUCCGGAUUUAUUGGGCGUAAAGCGAGCGCAGGCGGUUUCUUAAGUCUGAUGUGAAAGCCCCCGGCUCAACCGGGGAGGGUCAUUGGAAACUGGGAAACUUGAGUGCAGAAGAGGAGAGUGGAAUUCCAUGUGUAGCGGUGAAAUGCGUAGAUAUAUGGAGGAACACCAGUGGCGAANGCGGCUCUCUGGUCUGUAACUGACGCUGAGGCUCGAAAGCGUGGGGAGCAAACAGGAUUAGAUACCCUG